UUUUCUUCUUUUUAUUCUCACGCUGUGAAACAAGAACCGAAUCAGAAAAAUGUAUCAUACACGCAUCACCAUGAGAGUUAGAGCUCCUUCUUCUUCUUCUUCUUCUUCUUCUUUCUUAGGGUUUGUCAAAAUUAAAUUCAGAUGCCAUCUCAUUCUUGCUCAAUCUCAACCAAUCGAUACUCUUAACUUUCCACUUGUCGAACUCUAGGGUUUCAACUUCUUCUUUUUUAUAUUUUGGCUGGGUACGCUACUUGAACUAUUCAUUAAUUCCUACUGGUGAUUUGUUGUAAGCCAAAGUUUGAUAAGGUAUUGCAAACUUAUUAAGUUGCAGAAGUUGAGAUGUUUAGUCAAGGGGGUUAUAAUUCUCAGUCUGGACAAGGUCCUCAGAAACCUAGGCCACCUCCAUAUUUACAGCAUCAUUCACAAGCUCUGCCUCCUCCGUUAUCUCAUAAUUUUCAACAAGGUCCACUGCUUCCAUCACCUCCUAUCCCACCUCGCCCUGGUCAGCCAGGAUUGCCUAUAUAUCAGCAUGGUCCUCUUGCUCCACAUUUUAGCACUCGGCAGGUUCCUCCUGGUGGGAUGCCCAGUCCAGGUCAGCCUUUUUUGCAUCGGCCACCAACAAUUAGUGGAAGUGCUCCAUUGCUGCAAAUGUAUUCAACUGCACAGCAAAAUCCACAACAUUCUUAUUUAGCACCUGGUCCUCCUCCUCCUCGGAAUUUGCCACCUACAAUUUCACAAGGCCCUGUAUUAUAUAGAGCUCCAAUUAGUCAGCUGCCUCCACAGCCAAUUGCUGUGCAGGGUAUACAGCAAAUUCCGCCACCUCCACCUCCCCUGCCCACUUCAAGUUUUCCAACUUUUGCUCUUUUUGGGAGUAGUUCGGACUCAAGUACUGGAAACUCCUCAAUCUCUUCCGUGGCUCCUCUACCACUGCCGCCUCCACCACCAUUGCCGGCUUCUGCACCACCCCCUGUGCCAUCUUCUUCGCCACCACCCUAUUCUAGUACACUUUCUGGCAGUAAAUCAGGUGCUCCUCCACCUAAGCCAGCAGAAGAAAUUGUUCAGAAGAUUGAAGAGUUAUGCCAGCUAAUUGCCAAGAAUGGUUCUUCUUAUGAAGAUAUGUCUCGGCAAAAGGAAAAUGAGAAUCCAUUGUUCAAAUUUUUGUUUGGUGGUGAGCCAGGAAGCGAAGCUGCUAUUGCGCAUGGGUAUUUUUUGUGGAUGAAGAAGAGAUGCAAACUGGAUGGAAUUGAGCAUGCAAUGCCAACCAAUCAUUCAACUGUUGCAACUGAGGCCCAUUCACCUGCUAAUUCUGACAUGGAGAUGGAAGAUGAUAUCAGCGGGUCAUCUCACAUUGACCAGGCAGUGAGUCAGCCUUUUCAAAUACCUACUCAAGCUUCUGCUCUGAAAAAGGAAUCAGAAAAAAAGUUAUGCACAUUGCCAUGUUCAGUAGGAUCGGAUGCAGCCACAACUGUUUUAUCUGAUACUGAGUUAUCAUCCAGCUCGUUAAGACUGGGUGAACAAGGGCCAAAAUUUGUCCCAAGUUGUGAUGACUUGACAUUUGGGAGAUCAACUUUUGGAAUUCAAAGCCCAGUUAUUGGUUCUGCUCAAGCUACCCAGUAUCGCUUUGUUGGUGACGGAGAGAAUUGUUCUGCACCCCUCACUGAUGAUAAAAGUUCACCUUGGGCAGGUGGAGCUGUUGAAUGCAUAAGUUCUGACAAAUAUCCUGGUCAAGUUAUGAAUGGAAGUAGUCCAUUCAGACUUCUACAAGAUUAUGUUUCUAAUGACAGCUCAGAAAAUGAUGAGGAAUCGUGUUUGAAAGAUUCCAAUCCUGAAACAGUUUCACCAGUAGUUGCAGUCAGCAAUGAAGGCUUGUAUAGAGAGACUGGAGAUGCUGGGCCAAAGAGUCCCUACAAGUCUGAAAGGACUUCUGUGCUGCUCCCUAAAUCUGGCAUUCCAUACAGAGCCCCAGAAUAUCCUUCAGAUUCACAAAGUGGAAUUAAGGAGACUGCCCCGAUUUCCGUUUCAAGUGGGUUGGCCACCAAAUGUAGCGAUACUAAGCAUGAAAACCAAUUAUUUAUUGACCAUGCUUCUAAUACCAAGCGUCUAGCUAAAGAAGAUGCCUCUGGUGGUGAAUGGGCAAAUGCUACUUUUAGUAGUAAAUAUGAGAAGGACAAUGACAAUAAAAGUGCAAACUUCACUUCGAAUGCACAAAAGAUAGAUGAGUUUGGCAGGUUGGUCAGAGAAGGUGCUAGUGAUAGUGACUCUGAUGAUUCACGUCAUGCUCGGAGACAUAGCAAAAGAGGGAGAAGUAGGAGCCGAAGUCGGAGUAGGUCUCCUACAGGUAGGAGGAAAAGGAGGAGGAGGAGCCCUCGGAGAAGAAGAGAGAAUAGAAGUAGAUCUCGCAGCUGGUCUCCCAGGUAUCGAAGAAGUAGGAGCGGGUCUCCCAAGAAACGACGGAGUAAGAGCAGGUCUCCCAAGAACCGUAAGAGCAGGUCUCCCAGGAGUCGAAGAAGUAGGAGCAGGUCUCCAUCUUUUAGGCAUGCAAGUGAGUUUAGCAACGGCAUUAUGAGACGCCAGAUGCCAGCCUGUUUUGACUUUCUCCGAGGCAAGUGCUACCGUGGGGCAUCUUGUCGCUAUCUGCACCAUGAUUCUGAGAAAAACGAUGGAUCAAGGCAUCAUAAAAGCAAGCAGCAUGUAGUGCAACUUCCUCCCAGUUCAAAGAAUGUCAACACUCAUGAUGAUAGCAAGAAAUCCUCACUAAAGGUAUCAGAUCUUGAGCAGGAAAUCAUGAACCGGGAAUCGCGACACAAUCGUGAUAUGCCUGCUGGCAGCAUUCUUGCUUCAAAAGAUGAUAUCAUUGGUUGCACCAGAGAAGAUUCUCUCAGCAAUGCAUUUGUUAAUCCUGACAGAAUUUCUUCUGGUCCUGCAAGAGAGGUCACUGUUAAAGAGCCAGAAGCAGGUAAAAAAAGGUCUGAAAAUGUUACUACUUCUCUAGAAGAGAAUCUUCUAGAGACGAUGGAAUCUGACAGGCCAAGGAGUAUUGGUGGUUCUCCCUCUAAACUUGCUACUGAUACUAAAGUCCUGGAAUUGCAUGGUGAAGCUUCUAAGGUCGUGCUUUCUUCUCUGAAGGACUCUGUGGUCCAGCAACUUCAGCCUGUUCUGUCACAUCCAGUGCUUGAAGGUACUGAUCGCCCUUACCUACAAACUGAUGAUUCUUCUAUAUCUGAUCCAUCACCUGAUAAAACCAUUAAGACUUUUCCGAAUAAGCUAUGUACUAGUGAACCUUUUCCAACUUCAGCAGAUUCUGCACAUAAUCCUUCCCAGCUUCCCCCUUUUCCUCCUGCUCCCAAUUCAGAGAAUAACACUCUACAUGCGACACAGCCAUCAAGGGAUUACAGUUUGAUGCCUCAUUCUGUAGCAUCUCAUUCUCAAUCUGCCUCUUUGGAAAGCUUUCCUUCUUACAUGCUGCCCCAUCAAAGUUCUCUUUUUUCUGUACCACCGAAAUCCUCCUUAGCCUCCAUGCUGCCACCACCGCCACCGCCAUCGCAAUUGCCAGCAAACAUUCUGACUGCAAAUGCAGGAAGUGCACAACCAGAUGUUUCUUUGCAAUUUCAGCAGAGCGGCUUGCCUCCAAGGAGUGACUUUGGUUCUCAGUUCUUCUCAAUACCGCCCUACUCAACUGAGUUGUCUGGUAAUUCCCAGGUUGGUCAAUUCCAGCUUCGGGCCUACCCUUCGGUGCAAGAACCUCAUCGACUUCUCUCACAUGUGGAAGAUUUUAGGUUGAAGCCUCUACCUGGAAGCAACCCAUCCAGUCAACAAUUUAGCAGGACUGGUAUUUUGGGAGAAGAUCAUUCAAAACAACUUCCAGUGCAGGAUUUAGGUACUUCAGAUUCCUUUACUAGGAAUAACAAUUACCUUCAGCCUAUGACCUUUUCUCAGGAGUCAUCUGCAAUCAAAAUGCAAAACUUUCCUGGUCAAAGUUCAACUCCAGGAGAGAUUUUGAAGUCUUCUCAGAUUCAUCCAUACUUGCAGCCGCAACAGCCAAUGCAUGAUUUGGACAAUUCUGUCCCUGGUAGUGCCUAUGAUCUGCAUGGGAAAAUCAGUUCUUCAACUAGAUACACACCAGAUCAUCGAGACAGAAAUCAAUCAUUGCAUCAGCCUGAUUUUGGAGUAACAAGAAGUUCAACUCACUUUAAUCCUUAUGUAUCCACUUUUGAGAAGCCGCUUAGCUCCAGAUUUAGUUCUGAUGUCUUCAGGCAAGAAAAAGACACAACUUAUGUUAGCAAGCAUGAUCCUCCUUUUAGUUUGAACCAUGCUUCAGUUGAUGUCCAAGGUGUUGGAUCAAGACAGACAGCUUCUUCACCAAUUUCUGCCAGAGGUGCCGGGAAGAUUAUUCCUGGGUCAGGUGGAGAUCAGUAUGAUCCAAUCUUUGACAGCAUUGAACCAUCUUCAAACUCAUAUAAGAGAUUUGAUCCUAUUCAGAAAUGGGAACCCUCUGGUGAUUCGGAUAUCAUAUCGAGGCUCAAAGGCCCUAUCCAAGCAUUGGAUGUCGAAGAGAAUAACAGGAGGAAAGAGCCUGGUAGCAUCACUCUUGCUGCAUCUCUUGAUAAUGAGGAAUUUGGUGAGACAGCAGACGCAGAAGUUGGUGAUGUUGAAAAUGGGAGUCAGAGUAACCCUGAUGCUUUAGCUAAUACAAAUAUGGGCGAGAUAGAGAUUGACCAGAUUAAGUCCCCAGGGAAGAGCAGGAAGAGCAAGGAAUCCAGAUCGAUAAAGCUUUUCAAAGCUUGCGUUGCAGAUUUUGUAAAGGAGGUUUUAAAGCCAUCAUGGCGACAAGGUAACAUGAGCAAGGAGACAUUUAAGACUGUUGUCAAGAAGACUGUUGAUAAGGUGGCUGGUGCAAUGAAGAGCCACCAGAUACCCAAGUCCAAGGCAAAGAUAAAUCAGUAUAUCAACUCGUCACAGAGGAAACUAACAAAACUUGUGAUGGGGUAUGUAGAUAAGUAUGCUGAAGGGUAAAGGUUGAUAUUAUCACCUAUGGUUUUGGUUGAUGAUUUUGUUUCCAUGAACUCUCCUAUCUUUGUGGCUUAUGUGCCAUUACUGCUGAGUUGCGAGGGCAGAUGGUAAAGUUUCACCUGGCAUUGGUACAUUCCUGGUGCUUGGUGAAGCUUGUAUUUACCAGCACCAGAAUAUAUGAAAGUCCAACAAGAUGAAUUUUAUGAAGCAUUAUUUCCAACCUCAGCAAAGUUCUGUGGGAGCUCUAAAAUGUGAUAAAUUUGAAUGAAGUGAAUUAUUCUUGAAGGUUUUGUUGGAUGAUAUGGAUUUCCCCUUCUUUUUUCUUUCCUGUGUGGUGCCACUGCCAACAAUAUGUUAAAGGUCAUUUGAAAGGUUCAUGCUCAUGCACGCACAGACAGUGUGCGGAGGAGAAACUUGUAAAUGUGUACAGAUGAAUCGAUAAUAUUAAGUGGGACAGUUUUUCUUUUAUUUAGUUUCUUCUUUUAUAUUCUAAGCCUUUGAACAAAUUGUGGUUGUGAGAUGGAGAAUUUAUGGAAAUGUUCUACAAACACUUGCACU